rnacentral:rRNA from 1 species
CCUACGGGGGGCAGCAGUAGGGAAUAUUGCUCAAUGGGGGAAACCCUGAAGCAGCAACGCCGCGUGGAGGAUGAAGGCUUUAGGUUUGUAAACCCCUUUUGUUAGAGAAGAUUAUGACGGUACCUAACGAAUAAGCACCGGCUAACUCCGUGCCAGCAGCCGCGGUAAUACGGAGGGUGCAAGCGUUAUUCGGAAUCACUGGGCGUAAAGAGUGCGUAGGCGGGGUAAUAAGUCAGAUGUGAAAUCCUGUAGGUUAACUACAGAACUGCAUUUGAAACUGUUACUCUGGAGUGUGGGAGAGGUAGGUGGAAUUCUUGGUGUAGGGGUAAAAUGCGUAGAGAUCAAGAGGAAUACUCAUUGCGAAGGCGACCUACUGGACCAUAACUGACGCUGAUGCACGAAAGCGUGGGGAGCAAACAGGAUUAGAUACCCCUGUAGUC